AAAAGUUAUAGUAUAAAAAAUACAAAAGGUUUCGAACCUUUAGAUCCACAACAAGUAGUAACUUUUU
rnacentral:tRNA from 1 species